UACAGAGGGUGCGAGCGUUAAUCGGAAUUACUGGGCGUAAAGCGUGCGUAGACGGUUACAUAAGUCGGGUGUGAAAGCCCCGGGCUCAACCUGGGAAUUGCAUUCGAGACUGCGUAGCUAGGGUGCGGAAGAGGGAAGCGGAAUUUCCGGUGUAGCGGUGAAAUGCGUAGAUAUCGGAAGGAACACCAGUGGCGAAAGCGGCUUCCUGGACCAAUACUGACGCUGAGGAGCGAAAGCCAGGGGAGCAAACGGG
rnacentral:rRNA from 1 species